UGUAUUUGUAGUAUAAGAAGUACAAAAGGUUUAGGGUUUUUGGGUUAGGAAAUACAU
rnacentral:tRNA from 1 species